rnacentral:rRNA from 1 species
CGGUUAAGUUAGAAAGGGCGCACGGUGGAUGCCUUGGCACUAGGAGCCGAUGAAGGACGGGACAAACACCGAAAUGCUUCGGGGAGCUGUAAGUAAGCGUCGAUCCGGAGAUGUCCGAAUGGGGGAACCCACUGUCCGUAAUGGGGCAGUAUCCAUAUCUGAAUCCAUAGGGUAUGGAGGGCAACCCGGGGAACUGAAACAUCUAAGUACCCGGAGGAAGAGAAAGCAAUAGCGAUUCCCUGAGUAGCGGCGAGCGAAACGGGAACAGCCCAAACCAAGAGGCGUGCCUCUUGGGGUUGUAGGACACUCGAUUAAGGAGUGACAAAGGAACGGGGUAGACGAAGAGGUCUGGAAAGGCCCGUCAGAGAAGGUAACAACCCUGUAGUCGAAACUCCGUUCCCUCCCGAGUGGAUCCUGAGUACGGCGGGACACGUGAAAUCCCGUCGGAAGCAGGGAGGACCAUCUCCCAAGGCUAAAU